AUUGAACGCUGGCGGCAGGCCUAACACAUGCAAGUCGAGCGCGUCGCAGGCGGGUGAGUCAUGUCUGUGACCCUGCCUGAUGGCGGGGGUUACCUCCUGGAAACGGUAGCUAAUACCGCAUACCAUCGGCUUUGCCCAGGUGGGAUUAUCUAGUAGGUGGGGUAAAGGCUCACCAAGGCGACGAUCCCUAGCUGGUCUGAGAGGAUGACCAGCCACACGGGAACUGAGACACGGUCCAGAAUCCUACGGGAGGCAGCAGUGGGGAAUAUUGCACAAUGGGCGAAAGCCUGAUGCAGCCAUGCCGCGUGAGUGAAGAAGGUCUUCGGAUUGUAAAGCACUUUAAGUUGGGAGGCGUUACCAACAGAAGAAGCACCGGCUAACUUCGUGCCAGCAGCCGCGGUAAUAC
rnacentral:rRNA from 1 species